rnacentral:lncRNA from 1 species
ACUGGAGCUAGACCAGCUCUGAACACCCUGCCUGCCACGGGAGCUCCCCAUCACGGAGCUCCCGGCUUCUGCACCAGUCAGGACGCCGGAGGCGCACCUUGCCCAAGGUCAACUAACUGGGCAGCCUAGUGAGGACCCUACAGAACCUUCUCCGGCUCCCUGGCCUCCAAUUCAGGGUUAGUUUCAAGGCAUGCAUUUACACUUUGAGAGGGAGACUGAGGGAAAUCAGGGAUUCUUUAGUUUGGAAGGAAAAUUAGAACUAGUAAUUACUCUGCCCCCAAGGAAAUAUUAGGCCAGCAUGUUCUGGCACUUUCUUUUCGUCUCCUCUGGAAUCUUCCUCAUUUUGUGAACGGGGGAGGGGGCACUUGGGCCAGGAGGUUGCGGGGCCUGGGUUGGAGAGGGUGAGAGGAGCGGGAGCCAGCAGUCCCCAAGGAGAAAGUUUGCCUUAGGUCCCCGGGGUGGGGGCAGGGGAGAGAGGGGAGCCUGCGAGGGGCCGGUCGUGUGGGAGAGGGAGGAAGGGGCAGAGGAGAGGAGGGCAGGGGAUGGCAGAAACACGGAGAAGCGGGCAGAGAGGAAGCGGAGGAUAAGAACAGGAAAAAAGUAAGAAAGAGGAGUGUCCGAAAGGGCACAGAGAGGAAAGAUCCAAGCAGGACCGAAAGCUGGGGAGAGCCCGAAAGGUCAGCGUGUGGACCCGGAGCUGAAGAGGGCGCGCCCCACCUCGGCUCCGAGCUGGAGCCCCGGGCGGCAGAAGCCUGGGAGGAAGGACGCCCGAGAGAGAGGCAGUGCCCGGCGGGCAGAGGUGGAGCGGCUCGGGCCGAGGGACCCUGGAAAGGGAAGGAUUCGGAUCCCAGUUCCUGAGACUGUAGGAAUCGGACGAGAUCGCACAACCAGCCUCUUUCCGCUCUGGAGAGUCCAGUGACACUUAGAAAAGGCCGAGAGGCAAGCCCCAAGCUUCGGGAGCAUUUCGGAUGCAGGGUGCAGACGGAGCCGCUGGAGAAAGGCCACUCUAGAAGCUGGGCAAGGAAGACCAGCUGGGCUGGAGGGGCCAAAGGGCUUCAGGAGCCCAGACUCUGGGCCUUCGGGAGAAACACGGAAGGAAAGGCGGUGACCCACGGGAGAUGGCCGUUCCUGCAGGUCAGAGAUCAUGAACGUUGGCAAUUUCAUCUUGUUGCACCUGCCGGGUGUCAGAGCCACCUGGACCCUUUGCUAUGCACACAUCUGGUGACAGAUACAGAUCAGGCCACAGGGCCCGGAUGGUGUGAGACAACAGUGCGGCUCCAUGCCAGCCACCCCCGGAGCUCUGAGAACUGCAGCAGUGACAAAAGAGGAGCGCUUUAAAGAGCCUCGACUCCUCGGGGUUCCCAAAGUCCCUACAGAGCCGCCACUCCCUGGGGUGAGGAUGAGGUGAACCCCUGGGAGGUAGGGGAGAAUUUCAUUCCACCGAGAGGGGGGGUGUGAUGCCUUCCUGGGGAGCUAGAGGGCACAGGCAGAGAGUGGGCAGGAAAGGACCUGAUCAAACUAAAAACUGAUCCGUGUAAUUAAAGCAAUGGUGCAC